rnacentral:rRNA from 1 species
CGCGGCCUAUCAGCUUGUUGGUGGGGUAAUGGCCUACCAAGGCGACGACGGGUAGCCGGCCUGAGAGGGCGACCGGCCACACUGGGACUGAGACACGGCCCAGACUCCUACGGGAGGCAGCAGUGGGGAAUAUUGCACAAUGGGCGAAAGCCUGAUGCAGCGACGCCGCGUGAGGGAUGACGGCCUUCGGGUUGUAAACCUCUUUCAGCAGGGAAGAAGCGAAAGUGACGGUACCUGCAGAAGAAGCACCGGCUAACUAUGUGCCAGCAGCCGCGGUAAUACAUAGGGUGCAAGCGUUGUCCGGAAUUAUUGGGCGUAAAGAGCUCGUAGGUCGUUUGCCGCGUCGAUUGUGAAAAUCUGAGGCUCAACCUCAGACCUGCAGUCGAUACGGGCAAACUAGAGUGUGGUAGGGGAGACUGGAAUUCCUGGUGUAGCGGUGGAAUGCGCAGAUAUCAGGAGGAACACCAAUGGCGAAGGCAGGUCUCUGGGCCAUAACUGACACUGAGGAGCGAAAGCGCGGGGAGCGAACAGGAUUAGAUACCCUGGUAGUCCGCGCCGUAAACGGUGGGCACUAGCUGUGAGGACCUUCCACGGUCUUCGCGACGCAGCAAACGCAUUAAGUGCCCCGCCUGGGGAGUACGG